GUUGGUUUUGAGUUGAUGAGAAAGAAAAGUAGAAGAAGAAGAAGAAAGCAAGAGGUGGAUCUGAAUUCUCAGGUAAGCAUAUGGGGAAAUGUCUUUUGUGAUUGUGAAGCUUCCGUAUCAAUUGUCCGAGAUGCACCCAAUGAACAGUAAUAAAGAAAUAGGGGCUGCCUCUAAAGUUAACAACUUUACUUUGGAAGUAUCGUCCGCGGUUCUUGUUGCCUGUCGUUCCUUAAUUAAGCUGUAUCAUAUGCCUAUUUGCCAAACACCUCGGGAUCAGUCGCGUUUACCCUGCACUGCACAGAAAUGUCGGCUCAGGCUUGUUGGCUCCUACCAGUCUGUCAAUCUGUUUCCCAUCUCUGAGAAAGAAGAAAGUUGGGGUG